CCAGACUCCUACGGGAGGCAGCAGUGGGGAAUAUUGGACAAUGGGGGGAGCCCUGAUCCAGCGACGCCACGUGAGUGAAGAAGUAUUUCGGUAUGUAAAGCUCUAUCAGCAGGGAAGAAAGAAAUGACGGUACCUGACUAAGAAGCCCCGGCUAACUACGUGCCAGCAGCCGCGGUAAUACGUAGGGGGCAAGCGUUAUCCGGAUUUACUGGGCGUAAAGGGAGCGUAGACGGCGAUGCAAGUCUGAAGUGAAAGGCGGGGGCCCAACCCCCGGACUGCUUUGGAAACUGUAUGGCUGGAGUGCAGGAGAGGUAAGUGGAAUUCCUAGUGUAGCGGUGAAAUGCGUAGAUAUUAGGAGGAACACCAGUGGCGAAGGCGGCUUACUGGACUGUAACUGACGUUGAGGCUCGAAAGCGUGGGGAGCAAACAGGAUUAGAUACCCCGGUC
rnacentral:rRNA from 1 species